AUUGCCUCAGUAACGGCGAGUGAAGCGGCAACAGCUCAAAUUUGAAAUCUGGCCCUAGGCCCGAGUUGUAAUUUGCAGAGGAUGCUUUUGGUGAGGUGCCUUCCGAGUUCCCUGGAACGGGACGCCAUAGAGGGUGAGAGCCCCGUCUGGUUGGAUACCGAGCCUCUGUAAAGCUCCUUCGACGAGUCGAGUAGUUUGGGAAUGCUGCUCAAAAUGGGAGGUACAUGUCUUCUAAAGCUAAAUACCGGCCAGAGACCGAUAGCGCACAAGUAGAGUGAUCGAAAGAUGAAAAGCACUUUGAAAAGAGAGUUAAACAGCACGUGAAAUUGUUAAAAGGGAAGCGUUUAUGACCAGACUUGGGCCGGUUGAUCAUCCAGUGUUCUCACUGGUGCACUCUGCCGGUCUAGGCCAGCAUCAGUUCGCUGCGGGGGAUAAAGGCGUCGGGAAUGUGGCUCCUCGGAGUGUUAUAGCCCUUCGUGUAAUACCCUGUGGUGGACUGAGGUUCGCGCUCUGCAAGGAUGCUGGCGUAAUGGUCAUCAACGACCCGUCUUGAAACACGGACCAAGGAGUCGUCUUCGUAUGCGAGUGUUCGGGUGUCAAACCCCUACGCGUAAUGAAAGUGAACGCAGGUGAGAGCUUCGGCGCAUCAUCGACCGAUCCUGAUGUUCUCGGAUGGAUUUGAGUAAGAGCAUACGGGGCCGGACCCGAAAGAAGGUGAACUAUGCCUGUAUAGGGUGAAGCCAGAGGAAACUCUGGUGGAGGCUCGCAGCGGUUCUGACGUGCAAAUCGAUCGUCAAAUAUGGGCAUGGGGGCGAAAGACUAAU
rnacentral:rRNA from 1 species